AUGUGGUUGGCAUAUAUAGUCAACACUCUGAUUACUCCAAUUUACCAUAUCGUCUUCAAGCAUGUAAUGUACCCCUUCACGGCUAGCAGAAACGUGAAGCAUCUCAAAGAAGCAGCCGAGGGUUUGAUCGCCAAGGGCAACGAUGUCCGGUAUGAGAUUGAGAUUGCCGAGAGAAAUGGCAGGACAGCAAAGAAUGAAGUGCGGAAGUGGCUUGAAAAUGUGAACGCCAUCAAGUCUGAUGAAGAAGCAAUUAGGCAGGUGUAUGACGAGAGAUGCCAAGUUUUUGGGUGCAUCUCUCUGAAUUGCUGGUCAAACUACAAAAUCAGCAAGAGUGCUGAAAAGGAGCUUCUGAAAGCCCAAGAGUAUGCCAAGAUUGACACUAGUGUUGUCGCAAUCCAGCCACUGCCACCAUCAGUCCGAGAAAUGCCUGUCUCAUCCAGUGGAUUGCCCAGUGAAGAGCAUAAUAUGCAGGAGGCUGCCAGGUGCAUUAGGAAUUCUCCGGUUGGAAUGAUUGGGAUAUGGGGUCUAGGUGGAGUGGGAAAGACUCAUCUUCUGAAGAAGAUCAACAACUCAUUUCUAGGAGACUCUUUCUUCGAUGUUGUUAUUUUUGUUACAGCCUCAAAAGAUUGUUCAGUGGAGAAAAUCCAAGCUGAAAUAGUAAAGAAACUCAGCUUAAGGAAAGAGUCUCAAGCCAAUAUCAUUUCUGACUUGCUGAGCAGGAGGAGUUUUCUUGUACUGCUGGAUGACCUCUGGGAACGGUUGGACUUGCAAGCAGCUGGUAUCACACAUCCUCUUGGAGCCCUUUCAAGAGAGCUUGUGAAGGAGCUAAAGGGCCUGCCCCUGGCGUUGAUAGCUACCGGAAAGGCAAUGCAUCCAAAGAAAGAUCCAGGUGAAUGGGAAACAGCUAUUCGUCUACUGCGACGAUCUGGCCACGAUGCGGAUGAUCCCACGUCUGUGGAGAACACAAUUUACUUCAAGUUAAAACUUAGCUAUGAUAGCUUAGGGAAUGAUACCAUGAGACGUUGUUUCCUGGUUUGCUCUCCAUGGCCAGAAGAUUCUCCUAUUGCUAAAGACGAUCUGAUCCAGUGUUGGAUGGGCUUAGGUCUGCUUAAUAAAUGCGACAUGCAGACUUCUUACAGUGAAGGCUACAACAUAAUAGGUCACCUGCAAGCUGCAUCUUUGCUGGAAGGUACUGAGGACAGUAGUAAGCACCUCAAAAUGCAUGAUGUGAUCCGUGAUAUGGCGAUAUGGAUAUCUUGCGGUUGCGGUGAAAACAAUAACAAAUGGGUCGUUCACGCAGCGAUCGGCAAAACUGCGUCUAGAAAGUGCAUCCCUUGGAACAGAGUGGAGUAUCUGUCAAUGAUGGGCAACGGACUGGAAGAGCUUCCAUAUCUUGGUGGUGGCGUGAAUGAAAAUAGUAUGGGCUGCAGUGUCAGAUCCAAGUGUUUUCUUGGUUCUGGUUCCACAGAACUCAGGACAACACUGCUUCUUCAAGCUAAUAAGUUCAACGAGAAGGCACUUGGAAAUAUUUACCUCUUCACUUCAUUGACAUACCUAGAUUUGAGUCAGAACUACAUUCGUGUUCUGCCUUUAGCAGUCUGUGCUCUGGGAGAUCUAGAGUACCUCAACCUGUCAUACAAUUACAUCACUGAGUUGCCCAAGGACCUUCGACACCUCACCAAGCUCAAAUUCCUAUACCUAAGAGGCAACCCGAUACACACUGUACCAAAGGGCACCAUAUCAAGGCUGCAGGAACUGCAAGUGCUUGACCUCCUGUCGUCCCAGGUCUCGACACACGCAAACUAUACUCUAUCAUUGUUCCCAGAAUUGGACUUCCUGGAUAACUUGAAAGCUGUGGAGAUCGGGGUCAAAGGUGACGCGGCAUACGAACUGCUAGGCAAGUUCCCCGGCCUCCCUGUUAGAUCCAUCCAUCUGAGCAGGCUGACAGGGACACCAACAUUCUGCUUCCUGGAUGGCUGCUUCUCGAGCUCCUCGGUGCAAGCGAGCUUAUACGACCUGACGAUCUACAAGUGCUGCAUGCAGCAGAUACUGGUGAGAAGCGGCACGGAAGGAGCAGUCUCCCAGUUCGACGUGCUCAGAUCGCUCACGCUUGACAGCCUGCGCAGCCUGAAGGGGAUCAUCUGGAAGAGAGUGGUCCCAGAGCCUCUUUUUCCGAGGCUGACCUACCCGGCAGUCGUGCACUGCCAGAGUCUUAGGCACAUUUCAUGGGCCAUGCACCUGCCUUGCCUCGAGAGGAUCCUGGUGAACAACUGCGGCGGCAUGAAACAGAUCGUUCGGACCAAGAAGAAGGACGGCGGUGCUGGGGAAGAAGACAGGGGGCAAGCACCGGUCCAUGGCUUCCCUUGCCUCAAAUACCUUGAGCUGCAGAGCCUUCCCGGGCUGUCGAGCCUCUGCGACCCCGAGGUGACAUUCCCAUCCCUCGAGACCAUGGAGAUAUCCUUCUGUCCAAAGCUGAAGAGGCUCCCAUUCCUGAUGAGAACCGUGCCGCGGAGGCUGCGCAACAUCAGCGUCCCCCUUGUCCAGAUGAGGUGGUGGGAGUCGCUGGAGUGGGUCGAGGAGGGCGUCAAGCGUGCCGUACAGCCUCUUGUUAACUCGGACAUCACAGACCAGCUGGAGCAGAGUCCUAUUUAG
rnacentral:rRNA from 1 species